GAAUUUUAUAUAAAUUUGUUAUGUUUAAUAUUAUGAAUAGAUAUGUGAUAAUUUUAUAUUUUAUUGGGAGGAUAAAUAAAUUAAAAAAACUUUAAUAAAUAAAAAUCCAUUAAUUUAUGAAUUUAAGUUAAAUGAGUGAUUAAGUAAGUUUUAGAAGAAUUAAUUACCUUAGGGAUAACAGCGUAAUAUUUUUAGAGAGAUCUUAUUAAUAAAAAUGAUUGC
rnacentral:rRNA from 1 species